rnacentral:rRNA from 1 species
GAUGAACGCUAGCGGGAGGCUUAACACAUGCAAGUCGAGGGGCAGCAUAGGGUAGCAAUACUCUGAUGGCGACCGGCAAACGGGUGAGUAACGCGUAUGCAACCUACCCUGUACAGGGGGAUAACCCGGAGAAAUUCGGACUAAUAUCCCGUAAUAAUAUCCGGAGGCAUCUUUGGAUAUUUAAAGUUCCGACGGUACGGGAUGGGCAUGCGUAACAUUAGCUGGUUGGUAAGGUAACGGCUUACCAAGGCUAUGAUGUUUAGGGGUCCUGAGAGGGUGGUCCCCCACACUGGUACUGAGACACGGACCAGACUCCUACGGGAGGCAGCAGUGAGGAAUAUUGGUCAAUGGGCGCAAGCCUGAACCAGCCAUCCCGCGUGCAGGAAGACGGCCCUAUGGGUUGUAAACUGCUUUUCCAGGGAGAGAAACUUACGCACGUGUUGCGUGACUGACGGUACCCUGGGAAUAAGCAUCGGCUAACUCCGUGCCAGCAGCCGCGGUAAAACGUAG